GGUGGCCAUGGCAGCAGCGGAAUGAGAAGGGGAUGGCAUCACAGCUGGGGCCUGGAGGGGCACGAGCCUUGCUGGUACCAGUAAGAGACUGAAGCCCACCUCAUGCCUCCACAGGGAGUGUCCUAGCAGCAGCUUGCUUCAGGAAUCAUUAGGAAAUCGGUGUUACCUUUCCUGUACAACUAUGCCACUUUCUGGAGGCUCCGAGUCAAUGGAGCAUCCUCCAGAGGGAGUGCCCCAGGCAGCAGGGAACAGAGCUGUGCUCUGGGCAUCAACACUUCCCUGGAAAAAGGAGAGAUUGUGUCUGUGGAGAUGGCAGAGCAGCACUGGUACAGCCUGUGAGCAUGGAGAGGCCCAGGGGCACUCAGCUACCAAGGCUGAAGCCCAGGGAGCAGACCCAUGAGCACACUGCAUGGUUGAUGGCCAGCAGUGCUUGGGAGAGCCUCCUCUGUCUGGAUGCCUUCUGAUGUGACAGAGAAUGACCACAAUCAUUAUGGCCAAGGAACUAUCAGUGUGGCUGCAAAGCAAGGUCUGGCACGGCUGCACCGGAAACUGCAUCCAUAAGCAAAAAACAGGGCAGCACAGCAGCUUUCAGUACCCACUGCAGCACCACACAGCCUAAUCUGAUCUGAGAGCUGCAGGCAAAACAGUAUUGGACAGCCCAAACAGCAGGAAGCCCCAGAAGAAGUGGUUUCCAAUGCAGAUCGCAGGAGAUGCAAGCAGCUCUGCUUUGUGCAGCAGCUGCAGAGAGAAUUGCAGAUAUGCUGGCUGCCCUUGCAGGGCACCAGCUGCCAGUGAACAAAGUGGCCACGCAAGCUGCCAGGAAAGAUCAGACUGCUGCAGCCAGGCACUACAAAGGCAUCUGGCAGCAGCACAGAGCUCUGUGACUCCCUGCAGGAGACAAGCUACAGUUUGCUCCAAGAGGUCCUGUUGACAGACAACACUUCCAAGAAGCUUGAAGGCCAACCGUUUAACAACAGCACUGAGUUUUACGAUGCUUUUGUGGCAUCUUUCAAACACAGCGAGCAGGAGACAUGUUCUAGCUGUUUCUUGCCACUCCCAUUAAAACAGGCAACAAAGCU